UAGGGAAUCUUCGGCAAUGGACGAAAGUCUGACCGAGCAACGCCGCGUGUGUGAAGAAGGUUUUCGGAUCGUAAAACUCUGUUGUUAGAGAAGAACAAGGACGUUAGUAACUGAACGUCCCCUGACGGUAUCUAACCAGCAAGCCACGGCUAACUACGUGCCAGCAGCCGCGGUAAUACGUAGGUGGCAAGCGUUGUCCGGCUUUAUUGGGCGUAAAGCGAGCGCAGGCGGUUUCUUAAGUCUGAUGUGAAAGCCCCCGGCUCAACCGGAGAGGGUCAUUGGAAACUGGGAGACUUGAGUGCAGAAGAGGAGAGUGGAAUUCCAGGUGUAGCGGUGAAAUGCGUAGAUAUAUGGAGGAACACCAGUGGCGAAGGCGGCUCUCUGGUCUGUAACUGACGCUGAGGCUAGAAAGCGUGGGGAGCGAACAGG
rnacentral:rRNA from 1 species